UACGAAGGGGGCUAGCGUUGCUCGGAAUUACUGGGCGUAAAGGGAGCGUAGGCGGGUUAUCAAGUUGGAGGUGAAAGCCCAGGGCUCAACCUUGGAAUUGCCUUCAAAACUGAUAGCCUAGAGUAUGAUAGAGGUAUGUGGAACCUCGAGUGUAGAGGUGAAAUUCGUAGAUAUUCGGAAGAACACCAGUGGCGAAGGCGACAUACUGGGUCAUGACUGACGCUGAGGCUCGAAAGCGUGGGGAGCAAACAGG
rnacentral:rRNA from 1 species